rnacentral:rRNA from 1 species
GACGGGGGGGGCAAGCGUUGUUCGGAAUUACUGGGCGUAAAGGGCUCGUAGGCGGCCAACUAAGUCAGACGUGAAAUCCCCCGGCUUAACCUGGGAACUGCGUCUGAUACUGGACGGCUUGAGUAUGGGAGAGGGAUGUAGAAUUCCAGGUGUAGCGGUGAAAUGCGUAGAUAUCUGGAGGAAUACCGGUGGCGAAGGCGGCAUCCUGGACCAUUACUGACGCUGAGGCGCGAAAGCUAGGGGAGCAAACGGG